UACGGGUGGUGCAAGUGUUAUUCCACAUGACUAGGUGUAAAGGGUGUGUAGAUUGAAAAAAAAGAUUUAAAUUAACAGGAACUUGUUUUUUUACUUUUUUUCUUGAGUAUAAAUAGACGAUAAUGGAACUUCCUGCAUUAGGGUUAAAAUACAUUUAAACUGGAAGGAACACCAAGGGCGAAAGCAAUUAUCGAUAUUAUACUGACAUUGAGACACGAAGGGAUGGGGAUCAAAUGGG
rnacentral:rRNA from 1 species